rnacentral:rRNA from 1 species
CCUACGGGGGACAGCAGUGGGGAAUAUUGCACAAUGGGGGAAACCCUGAUGCAGCGACGCCGCGUGAGUGAAGAAGUAAUUCGUUAUGUAAAGCUCUAUCAGCAGGGAAGAAAAUGACGGUACCUGAGUAAGAAGCCCCGGCUAACUACGUGCCAGCAGCCGCGGUAAUACGUAGGGGGCAAGCGUUAUCCGGAUUUACUGGGUGGAAAGGGAGCGUAGACGGCAGUGCAAGUCUGGAGUGAAAGGCGGGGGCUCAACCCCCGGACUGCUCUGGAAACUGUACGGCUGGAGUGCAGGAGAGGUAAGUGGAAUUCCUAGUGUAGCGGUGAAAUGCGUAGAUAUUAGGAGGAACACCAGUGGCGAAGGCGGCUUACUGGACUGUAACUGACGUUGAGGCUCGAAAGCGUGGGGAGCAAACAGGAUUAGAUACCCCUGUAGUC